GGUUCCGUAGUGUAGUGGUUAUCACGUCUGCUUUACACGCAGAAGGUCCUGGGUUCAAUCCCCAGCGGAACCA
rnacentral:tRNA from 1 species